AUUAUCAGUGUUGGAUGUGAAGAUGGGACACACUUUGCUCUCUCUACUGGGGUUUUUCUUGCUGAAUUUACUUUACCGUGGACAAGCUCAAGAUGCUGUGCUGACCAUUGAGCCAAACUGGGCAACUUCUUUUCCCUGGGAGUCUGUUACCUUCAAGUGUGA